rnacentral:tRNA from 1 species
GGCCCCGUAGCUCAGAUGGAUAGAGCAGCGGUUUCCUAAACCGCGUGUCGGCAGUUCGAAUCUGCCCGGGGCCU